CCAGAGCCCCAGCAACAAGACCGCCUCCCAGCAACGAGACUGCCUGUCAGCCUUACAAGGUACCCAAUUUUCCAAUUACUCUAUAACAAAACUGUUGUGGGCAACAAGACUGUCUUCUAGGUUUGCAAGCCAAUCACUUUGCCAAAUGUUUUUGUAAGAUUUGUUUGAAAAGUUUGAGGUGGUAACUGUGAGCUGUGAACAUCUGGGUUUGCUUGCUGCUGGCAUUCUACCAGCGUCCCAGCAACAACACUGCCUCCCAGCUUUGCAAGAUGCCGAGAAAAAAUAAAAGAUCCCAGGCACAAAAGAAGCGCUGGAAACCACUUGACCUGGUCGAUCCUGCUGUCCCAAUGCUCACUGGCCACAACCAAGAUGAGGCAG